rnacentral:rRNA from 1 species
CUCGUAGGUGGCCAACUAAGUCAGACGUGAAAUCCCUCGGCUUAACCGGGGAACUGCGUCUGAUACUGGAUGGCUUGAGUUUGGGAGAGGGACGCGGAAUUCCAGGUGUAGCGGUGAAAUGCGUAGAUAUCUGGAGGAGCACCGGUGGCGAAGGCGGCGUCCUGGACCAACACUGACACUGAUGAGCGAAAGCCAGGGAGCAAACG